CCAUGAUCCACUGGCCACUCACCAGUACCUACAGGAGGAACUGGCAACCUCUGCUCAGUGGCCUGUCUUGUGGCUCUGCAGGUUUCCAGCUGUGCAUGGGAAGCAGAUACGGGGCAGAGGAUGGCGUGGCACUGUCAGGAAAGAUGCUAAAUCUACCUCCUCAGCCCUUGUCUUCAAUAAUGCUGCAGCAGCCUCCUCUGUGAUCUAGCUGGAAGGUGUUUUGCCUGCAUGCGUGCCUAUGAACUACACACAUGCUCAGUGUCUGAGGAGACCAGAAGAGGGUGGCAGGUCCCCUGGAACUGGAGUUACAGAUGGCUGUAAAUUACCAUAAAUUCGCCUUUGAAGAAUGGGCUGGGGAAAAUUUUGAGACCUGAUGCCUCUUCCCUAUCUAUGGUCUUCUUGGGAGACCCUUCAGCUAAUCUGGCUACCAGAUGCAUAGUGACAUAAAGAAGAGGCAUGAUGAGAAAGAGGGGGUGGUAAAACUGACAUUGAACCCCAUCAUUUAAUGCGUAGCACGUGCCGGCACAAGGAGGAGGGGAUGAUGAAGUAUUACACCAGCUAUCGAAGCAAAGCUUGGAGGACAAGGAGUUGCUGAGGCAGAAAAUUCCCCAGCGGCUGACUUGAUGGAUGAUAGGACAUUGUCUCCUGGGGAUGCAAUGAUUCGAGGAGGCUUUUCAGCAACCAAAAAUAAACCUUCCCUCUGCACAACGGGGCAGGCGAAGAGCUUAACAUCUACACCCUGCAGCUUAAGUCUGUUUCCUUUCCUGGGGCUUCCCAGGCUCCAACUCAGCUCCUCUCAUGUUGGCCUUCAAAUCUGAAGCAGGACCGUGGGAAGGACCCUGGGAUAAUUGCUUUUUGGUUGAGCACCUUUCAUCUGAGGAUCUUUAAGUGCUUUAUAAACACUAAUUAAAUCGCCACAACAAGCAACAUUUUAGAAUGCAUAAUGACUGUCUAGCACCCCAACUCUGGGCCAACUCCUUAAAGAUGGGGAACUGAAGGAUGGCAUGACUAGAUUUCAGAGGCGAGGCCCCAAAGUGAGUGUUCCUCGUUUCUAGUCUGUGCAGAAGAGGACCAAAGCCAUGGAGAGUCAUGUGAUCCUACACAAAUACACACUGUAAAUUACUAUGACUGGAAAGACAAUAAAAUGUCUAUGUGC
ensembl:lncRNA